GUCUCAUUGGAGACAUCCAAUAAAAUUGAAAGGAUACAAAGAAGAUAAGCAUGGCCCCUACGCAAGGAUACAACAACAACAACAAAGUCCUGCUAGGUGGGG